AAGGUAGCGAAAUUCCUUGUCGGGUAAGUUCCGACCUGCACGAAUGGCGUAACGACUUCCCCACUGUCUCGACCAGGAGCUCGGCGAAAUUGCAGUACGAGUAAAGAUGCUCGUUAAGCGCAGAAGGACGAAAAGACCCCGGGACCUUUACUAUACCUUGGUAUUGGCGUUAGGCGCGGAUUGUGUAGCAUAGGCGGGAGGCUUCGAAGCGGGUGCGCCAGCAUUCGUGGAGCCGCAAGGUGAAAUACCGCUCUGUUCUCGUUUGACGUCUAACCUCGACAAGUCAUCCUUGUCAGGGACAGUGCCUGGCGGGUAGUUUAACUGGGGCGGUUGCCUCCCAAAGAGUAACGGAGGCGCCCAAAGGUCCGCUCAGCCCGGUUGGCAAUCGGGUGGCGAGUGCAAGUGCACAAGCGGGCUUGACUGCGAGGACGACGGUCCGAGCAGGGACGAAAGUCGGAGAUAGUGAUCCGGUGCCGGCGCACGGGCGCGGCAUCGCUCAACGGAUAAAAGGUACCCCGGGGAUAACAGGCUGAUCAUUCCCAAGAGUCCAUAUCGACGGGAUGGUUUGGCACCUCGAUGUCGGCUCGUCGCAUCCUGGGGCUGGAGCAGGUCCCAAGGGUUCGGCUGUUCGCCGAUUAAAGCGGCACGCGAGCUGGGUUCAGAACGUCGUGAGACAGUUUGGUCUCUAUCCUCUGCGCUCGUUGGAAUCCUGAGGAGGCCUGCCCAUAGUACGAGAGGACCUGGGUGGACGAACCUCUGGUAUGCCGGUUGUCGCGCCAGCGGCACGGCCGGUUGGCUACGUUCGGGAGGGAUAACCGCUGAAAGCAUCUAAGCGGGAAGCCUGCUCCAAGAUUAGGAUUCCAUGGAUCUUCGAGAUCCUGUAGCCCGCAUGUUGAACACGUGUUUGAUAGGCCGGAGGUGGAAGCCCCGUGAGGGGUGGAGCCGACCGGUACUAACGGGCGAUGGCGACACAAC
rnacentral:rRNA from 1 species